GAAAUUUUGAAAAUUAGUUUCGGGAAUUACAAGUAAGACCCAUAAUUAAUUGGGCUCAAAUGAAAUGAAAAAAAUAAUAAUACAAAAGGCCCAAUUCAUUUAGGUGGUGGCCGGCCAUGUGGAGGAAAAAAGGGGCCCAAGCCCAUAAAAUUUUAAAAGCCUUGUAAUAAAUAAAGAAAAGGGACCAUUCAUUCUCAUUCUAGAACACUCAAAAAAAAAAAAAAAAAAAAAAAAGAGAGAGAGAGCAAGAACAAGAGAGGGGUUUCGGCCCCAAGGAGAAAGAAAGAUUUUUUUUUUGAGGCCAUCAAUCUUUGAUCCAAAAUUAUAGUUUUCUAGUAUUUCUAUUAAGUUCAAGACCCUCUUCAACGUGGUAUAAUUUUUGAGGCAAGAAAGUACUUUUUUUAUCAAGUGAAGAAUUUGAAGAAAAGGAUAUUGGAGAGCCCGAGACUUGAUUCGGGACUGAACUAGCGAGCGAUUGAGGUACAGACAUUCGUUUUGGUGAUCCUCCAGUAUAGGAUACAUAUUCUGCCACUUGGAGUACUCCUUUUGAUCCGGAGCUCAUAUUUUUGGUACAUAUCUUCUGUUAUACACGUUCUUUAUAUGUAUGGCUAUUUGGGUACGGCGGGGCCCUGUCCUGUCAUAUGUUUCUGUUAUGUUUUGUAGAGGCCUGUAGUCAUAUAUGUGGGUUAUGGGUCAUGUUUGCCCGUUUUUGUUUAUGAUCUGUGCCUUAAGCGGUCCCAGUUGCUGUUAUGGCCAAAACGGCCCAUAUGUUUGUAAAUCUGGGCGAUGUGUAUUCCGCCAGCCUACCGGAUUUGAUAUGAUAUUUCUGUACGGGCAACCGCUUAAGAUGACAUUUGUUCUUAGUAUCUGUUUGAAAUAACGUAUGUUAAGUCUGAACAAAUCUUUGAUAUGUCGAUCUGGUACGUAAGUCAGUUUGGGUGUCCAAAUAGGGCACCAGUCGCGGCCCACGGGGCUGGGUCGUGACAGAAGAACAACUUUUGUGAAAUAAGCUUUAUCCUUUUAUGAAUGCACUAUUUAGUUGGGCUAUGUAUGUUGCUACAUCUUCAGUCUUUGG